CAGUCGCCACGGUAAUACGAAGGGUGCAAGCGUUAAUCGGAAUUACUGGGUGUAAAGCGUGCGUAGGCGGUGAGUUAAGUCUGCUGUGAAAUCCCCGGGCUCAACCUGGGAAUGGCGGUGGAUACUGGCUCGCUAGAGUGUGUCAGAGGAUGGUGGAAUUCCCGGUGUAGCGGUGAAAUGCGUAGAGAUCGGGAGGAACAUCAGUGGCGAAGGCGGCCAUCUGGGACAACACUGACGCUGAGGCACGAAAGCGUGGGGAGCAAACAGGAUUAGAUACCCCUGUAGUCCCUGUCUCUUAUAC
rnacentral:rRNA from 1 species